UACGUAGGGGGCAAGCGUUGUCCGGAUUUAUUGGGCGUAAAGAGCAUGUAGGCGGCCAGGUAGGUCUGCUGUGAAAACUCGAGGCUCAACCUCGAGAUGUCGGCGGAAACCAUCUGGCUAGAGUCCGGAAGAGGAGAAUGGAAUUCCCGGUGUAGCGGUGAAAUGCGCAGAUAUCGGGAAGAACACCCGUGGCGAAGGCGGUUCUCUGGGACGGUACUGACGCUGAGACGCGAAAGCGUGGGGAGCGAACAGG
rnacentral:rRNA from 1 species